AGACGUGCUAAUUGCGGCCAUUAAAUCGGGUUUUUGAUUCAGAAAGGAUAUUGGUCGGUAACAAAGACACCAAUCGUCGUCUAAGCGAGCGUCCGGUAAUUGGAACCAAGUUUUAGAUAAUCUAAUAUAAUACAAAACGCGAGCGUGAGUAAUAGCAUAUAUAAUGGUCGUGUCGGAAUGCUCACUGAACGAGAAAGCUACACCGUCCUUCAUUACGUUGGAUGGAAAAUGAAUUUUCACAUUAAAUUUUGAUAAAGGCUCCUUCUUAGAAUUUAAUGAAACAUCAAAGAUAGUGAGUGUUCUGUUUUGGAAUAUACUCCAUCGUAAAGUUUGUGAACCUUUGCUUUUAUUUGAGGUAUAAACACCUGCAUCAUAUGCUACACAUUCCUUUUUAAAAAGUUUUUCAUUAUCAUCAGCUGUUUCUAUAGCUUCAGAAUCGUCUUCCGAGUCGUUUUCGAGAGCUGGAACCCACAACGCCAAAGUUCCUUCCAGACAAAAAGAUUGUAAGUCUAUCGGAACUACCGCAUGCUUUAAUUCAUUCAUAUUUUGAUUUUAUUUUUUACUGGUAGCGGUAAUACCAGUAGAAAUACCAAACAAAUAGCUAACAAUAGGGGGCAGUUCUGGUUGAGUAUCGUAGACAACGACCUACACGAGUUAGCGUAAGACAGGCCAGUCCUACAACGAAUUUAUGAGAAACGCGUAAAUACGAGUAUAUUUGUAAUUCUUUAGCUUUUUAGGGUAGAGGGAGAUGGAAUGUAAAACUGAAUUUUCUUCUUGAAGAUUAAGUUCCUUAAUAAAAUAGAAUCAUUUGAUUGUGGAUGAAGAAAGCUAAACAAUUUGAUAGUUUUUAUUAAUCGAGCAAUUCCUUUGUAUUCAUAAUAAUAAAAAAGGAAUCAAAUAUUCAUUUAAAACUCAAGAGCUUAAAUGGAUUCUCUAUUUUAUUUGUGAAAUUACAUACAACAGUAAAAGAUCUUCAAGAUAUCAGAAGCCUUUCUUAGAUUAUUGUUAGUUUUUUUUAUUAUUUUUUGUAUACCUGUAACUUUUUAGCUGUUG